rnacentral:lncRNA from 1 species
CAAGUUAGUAUGAGAACGAGAAUAAUGAGAAUGAGUUAAUGAACAGUGUAUGCUUACUUGUUGGGAGUGUGAGUGAGGUAUUUAUAGAAGAGAGGUGGUCAAGACGGAAGGCUCAUGCUAGCGGGACCCACUCUCUGGCAUUACGGCUCUGUCUCCUGUCAGGAGGUCUGACUCUGACACUGUAGCCGCCUGGGAGUGAUGACGGAGGAUAUGGUGCAGGUGCCAUUAAGUGCCUCCAGUGCUUUUCAGAUAAAGUGCUGGUCCUGGAUGAUGUCAGGUGGGUUGACAUCAUCAGCGUGCAGCCGAGGUGGAUGUGCCGAGGUCACCUACACGGUGGACUAGGGAUGAAGCCGAGCUCUGGGGUUGUGCUCAAGACAGGGAUGAGCUCCGGUGAGGGACGAGACUUGUGUUCACCUCGGACACCCGCGUGUCCGAGGUGAGCAUCCUCAAUAAGCCCCCCAAGCCUCGGGAGCUUCGGGCCAGGGAGGUACCGAGGCUUCCUUCUGCCGAAGUCGUGAAGAGUCGGUGUCCCGAGCCUACUCCGGAAGGUGCGGGGACGUGACACGUGGGCAUGUCAGUUGAAGGGACCUGGAGAGUGAGUCGGCACGUAACCGUCACGUCGUGAAGUAGUGGGACGUUUCGUGCAGAGAGUGUCAGUUACAACGAGGACUCCAAGGAGUUGUGCGACCGGAUGGCUGAAGGCCUCCAAACUGGAAGGAACCUGGCCGAGGUCCUGGCCGAGUUCAACAAAUGGCUGUCCGAACUCGACGAAGUGUUCGAGGAGGUUGAAGAGGAAGAAACUGGAAGAGAGGAUGCCGAGGGAGACGAAGCCGGAGGGGGCGAAGUCGGAGGGGACGUCGUGCAAAGAGCCUGGAGAUGAAGUUCACCCCGGCGGAAAGGAGACCGAAGAGAAAGAUGCCCAGGAGGGAGCCAAGACCGGGAUUGGAGCCGAUACGGGGAUGUAGGCUCGUAGGCUUUAAAGGGGUGGCCGAGGUGAAAAGUGUUUAGUAGCACUCUGACCUCGGCCUUGUAUUUUUUGUAACACUUCUGUUGAAUGAAAGUCUAUUUCUUCUCAUCUCAGCUCUUUAAUUUCUUGCUUUGCUUUGACUUCAUCCCUUGCUUGUCCCCCUUAUUUUUUGAUAGCGUAAUAACCCUAUUGUUCUCAAGUCGUUAGCCGAGGUGGUAAAACGGGCAGAUACCACCUUGAUUUAUAAUGGGCCGAGGUGGCCCUUCGGGAGGUGCCACUGAGUAAGGUCGAGGUGGCCUUGCGGGAGGUGCCGCUGAUUAAGGCCUAAGUGGCCCUGCGGGAGGUGCCACUGAUUAAGGCGAGGUGGCCCUUCGGGAGGUGCCACUGCACUGAGGAAGGGCCUGCCACUGAGUAAGGCCGAGGUGGCCCUUCGGGAGGUGCCACUGAGGAAGGUCGAGAUGGCCCUUCGGGAGGUGCCACUGAGUAAGGUCUAAGUGGCCCCACUGAUUAAGGCCGAGGUGGCCCUUCGGGAGGUGCCACUGAGGAAGGUCGAGGUGGCCCUCGGGAGGUGCCGCUGAGGAAGGCCGAGGUGGCUCUUCGGGAGGUGCCACUGAGGAAGGCCUGCCACUGAGUAAGGCCUAAGUGGCCCUGCGGGAGGUGCGCUGAGAAGGCCGAGGUGGCCCUUCGGGAGGUGCCACUGAGGAAGGUCGAGGUGGCCCUUCGGGAGGUGCCACUGAGUAAGGCCUAAGUGGCCCUGCGGAGGUGCCACUGAUUAAGGCCGAGGUGGCCCUGCGGGAGGUGCCGCUGAGGAAGGCCGAGGUGGCCCUGCGGCUCAGCUCGGCUGACUGAAUUUUUCCUCAGAACCAAGUCUCCAGGCUGGAAUUGAGCGGUGUCAGCUCAGCGUCCGAGAGUGGACGAUCUUCCUUUCACUAUUCGAUCGAAAACACUCCGGCGGUCCCGGAGUUGGGUUGAAGUGCCACUUGGGCCGAGUUCACCUCGGCCGGUGUCUCCUCCGUGGAUCUGGCCCCGUACGAGAUGCUUGGGCUUCUCGCUUCAUGCGGUUCACAUCCUCACUUCGGAUUCCCUGGUCCACUCUAUCCCAGAGUUCCCGAAGUGUACGGGGGUACUCCCGAUGGAUUUCAGUGUUGAAGAUUCCGCACCAAUCCGUUGGUAAAGGCCGCGAGAGUUACCUGCUCAUUCUGAUCAGGUAUUUGCACAUUCUCCUCGUUGAACCUUUGAGCAUACGAGCGAAGAGACUCGCCCUGACCCUGUUGAAGGUUCAAGAGAUAAGCUGAAGUUUUCGUGAUUGAUCGAGACGACACGAAGCGGUGGAUGAACCGAUCUAUCAGCUCAUCCAGGGAGGAAAUGCUCCCCGGUUCCAAACUCCAGAACCACUUCCGGGCAGUCCCAUGUAGGAAAAUGGGGAAAGCUCGGCAGAUCACAGCGUCGGGACGCAGCAGUAGAGCCGGAAUGCAGAGAUGAAGGCGCGGAGAUGAUCCUCGGGGUCACUUCGGCCGUCAUAGGUGGGCAAGUUUGGAAGCUUGAAGUUCGGGGGUACCAUCUCCCCAUUGAUGUCAUCAGUAAAGGGCGGAGCCCUCAUGUAGUCAGAAGCUAGGCCCCGGGCGCCGAGGUGGGUCCUCAGCUCGUUUCCCCAGCAGUCCCCGAGAAAACGUCCGGGAGAUGGAGGCAAGUUUAGACGUCGCCUUGGAGGAGGCGCGCCUGGAGGUACUUCGAGAGAGUCGCCCCUCAUCUGAGUCUUCACCUGAAGGUACCUCAGGGGACUUCGUCGGCCUCCUCUUGGAGGACUCGGCCUUUUCUUUCCCCUGUCUUUUGAGGUACCUUCCUAGCUCCUCAAAAAUGGUAGGGUUGUGUGAUACGAACUCGGCCAUCUUGGCGAUGGCCUCCUCGUUGUUAGGCUGGGUCCUCGGGGACCCUUGCUCUUCAGAGAUGCGAUCUUGCUGGGCUCCGAGGUCUGCCCAGCCCCAGUUGAGGGAACUCGACCACUUCUGGAGCGCGUGGAUCUCAUUUUAGUAACAGUAGUCUCGUUCCCACAGACGGCGCCAAUUGAGGAGGCGAUUUUUGGUUGGUAACUAGACCGACCUGGAUCAGUCCUCUCUGAGAUGAAGUGAGGUGAACUCCUGUGUCCGAAGUGAACCUCCUUGUCCGAAGUGAGUGGCGGGGCUUCUCCCCUGGUAUCACUCCGACGAUCAAGUUAGUAUGAGAACGAGAAUAAUGAGAAUGAGUUAAUGAACAGUGUAUGCUUACUUGUUGGGAGUGUGAGUGAGGUAUUUAUAGAAGAGAGGUGGUCAAGACGGAAGGCUCAUGCUAGCGGACCCACUCUCUGGCAUUACGGCUCUGUCUCCUGUCAGGAGGUCUGACUCUGACACUGUAGCCGCCUGGGAGUGAUGACGGAGGAUAUGGUGCAGGUGCCAUUAAGUGCCUCCAGUGCUUUUCAGAUAAAGUGCUGGUCCUGGAUGAUGUCAGGUGGGUUGACAUCAUCAGCGUGCAGCCGAGGUGGAUGUGCCGAGGUCACCUACACGGUGGACUAGGGAUGAAGCCGAGCUCUGGGGUUGUGCUCAAG